GACGAACGCUGGCGGCGUGCCUAAUACAUGCAAGUCGAACGAACCGCGACUAGGUGCUUGCACUUGGUCAAGGUGAGUGGCGAACGGGUGAGUAACACGUGGGUAACCUACCUCAUAGUGGGGGAUAACAGUCGGAAACGACUGCUAAUACCGCAUAGGACAUAGGAUCACCUGAUCCAGUGAGGAAAGGUGGCGCAAGCUAUCGCUAAGAGAUGGACCCGCGGUGCAUUAGCUAGUUGGUAGGGUAAAGGCCUACCAAGGCGAUGAUGCAUAGCCGACCUGAGAGGGUGAUCGGCCACAUUGGGACUGAGACACGGCCCAAACUCCUACGGGAGGCAGCAGUAGGGAAUCUUCCGCAAUGGACGCAAGUCUGACGGAGCAACGCCGCGUGAGUGAAGAAGGUCUUCGGAUCGUAAAGCUCUGUUGUUAGAGAAGAACAGCGCAUAGAGUAACUGUUAUGCGUGUGACGGUAUCUAACCAGAAAGCCACGGCUAACUACGUG
rnacentral:rRNA from 1 species